rnacentral:misc_RNA from 1 species
GAAUGUGUUCUACUGGUUUCAAAACCACAAAGCAAGAGAACGACAAAAACGCCGUCGUGAAGUAGAGACUAGUUGUAAAGUACGAAAGCAUGAUACUGCUGGAAACCUGGAUAUGAAGGAAUCAGCUGGCGGUAUAAUAUUAUACCACCCGAUAUUUUCUUCUUCUUCCUCUGCAGUACUAUUAAUUUUUAACAUCAUUAGCCAG